GCGUGAGUGAUGAAGGCCCUAGGGUUGUAAAGCUCUUUUGUCAGGGAAGAUAAUGACUGUACCUGAAGAAUAAGCUCCGGCUAACUUCGUGCCAGCAGCCGCGGUAAUACGAAGGGGGCUAGCGUUGUUCGGAAUUACUGGGCGUAAAGCGCGUGCAGGCGGCUUGGCAAGUCAGAGGUGAAAGCCCGGAGCUCAACUCCGGAACUGCCUUUGAAACUUCUAAGCUUGAGUGCGGGAGAGGUAAGUGGAAUUCCCAGUGUAGAGGUGAAAUUCGU
rnacentral:rRNA from 1 species